rnacentral:rRNA from 1 species
RGUUAAGUGACUAAGCGUACACGGUGGAUGCCUAGGCAAUCAGAGGCGAAGAAGGACGUGCUAAUCUGCGAAAAGCUUGGAUGAGUUGAUAAGAAGCGUUUAAUCCAAGAUAUCCGAAUGGGGAAACCCGAUGGAUGAAGAAUCCAUCAUUUCAUUAUGAAUCCAUAGUAAUGAAAGGCAAACCGGGAGAACUGAAACAUCUAAGUACCCCGAGGAAAAGAAAUCAACCGAGAUUUUGUAAGUAGCGGCGAGCGAAAGCGAAAGAGCCAGUGAGUGAUAACAGCAAAGACAGAAGAAUUGGCUGGGAAGCCAAGCGACACAGGGUGAUAGCCCCGUAUUCGAAGUUUUUGUUGUGGUACUAAGCUUGCAACAAGUAGGGCGGGACACGAGAAAUCCUGUUUGAAGAUGGGGGGACCAUCCUCCAAGGCUAAAUACUCCUG